CAGCCGCCGCGGUAAUACGAGGGGAGCAAGCGUUGUUCGGAAUUAUUGGGCGUAAAGGGUGCGUAGGCGGUUUGAUAAGUCAUCUGUGAAAUCUCUGGGCUCAACCCAGAGUCUGCAGGCGAAACUGUCGGGCUUGAGUAUGGGAGAGGUGAGUGGAAUUUCCGGUGUAGCGGUGAAAUGCGUAGAUAUCGGAAGGAACACCUGUGGCGAAAGCGGCUCACUGGACCAUAACUGACGCUGAUGCACGAAAGCUAGGGGAGCAAACAGGAUUAGAUACCCGCGUAGUCCCUGUCUCUUAUAC
rnacentral:rRNA from 1 species